rnacentral:rRNA from 1 species
UACGUAGGGGGCGAGCGUUGUCCGGAUUUAUUGGGCGUAAAGCGUCCGCAGGCGGUGUGGCAAGUUCGAGGUGACAGUGCGCGGCUUCACUGCGCAAGGUCCUCGAAAACUGGCACACUUGAGGGCUUCAGAGGGACCUGGAAUUCCGGGUGGAGUGGUGAAAUGCGUAGAGAUCGGGGAGGAACACCUGUGGCGAAGGCGGCCACCUGGGCCGACCCUGGACGCUGAGGCGCGAAGGCGUGGGGAGCGAACGGG